GAUGAACGCUGGCGGCGUGCCUAAUACAUGCAAGUCGAACGCAUAGCGAAAGGUGCUUGCACCUUUCAAGUGAGUGGCGAACGGGUGAGUAACACGUGGACAACCUGCCUCAAGGCUGGGGAUAACAUUUGGAAACAGAUGCUAAUACCGAAUAAAACUUAGUGUCGCAUGACACAAAGUUAAAAGGCGCUUCGGCGUCACCUAGAGAUGGAUCCGCGGUGCAUUAGUUAGUUGGUGGGUAAAGGCCUACCAAGACAAUGAUGCAUAGCCGAGUUGAGAGACUGAUCGGCCACAUUGGGACUGAGACACGGCCCAAACUCCUACGGGAGGCUGCAGUAGGGAAUCUUCCACAAUGGGCGAAAGCCUGAUGGAGCAACGCCGCGUGUGUGAUGAAGGCUUUCGGGUCGUAAAGCACUGCUGUAUGGGAAGAACAGCUAGAAUAGGAAAUGAUUUUAGUUUGACGGUACCAUACCAGAAAGGGACGGCUAAAUACGUG
rnacentral:rRNA from 1 species